rnacentral:rRNA from 1 species
UACGUAGGGUGCGAGCGUUAAUCGGAAUUACUGGGCGUAAAGCGUGCGCAGGCGGUUCGUUAAGUCAGCUGUGAAAGCCCCGGGCUCAACCUGGGAAUUGCGGUUGAAACUGGCGGACUAGAAUCUGGCAGAGGGGGGUGGAAUUCCACGUGUAGCAGUGAAAUGCGUAGAGAUGUGGAGGAACACCGAUGGCGAAGGCAGCCCCCUGGGCUGAGAUUGACGCUCAGGCACGAAAGCGUGGGGAGCGAACAGG